ensembl:lncRNA LINC00710 long intergenic non-protein coding RNA 710
GACAUUUGAAAAGAUCUGAAGAUACGCCCCUUGGAUGCCUGCAGAGAAGCUCUGGGGCUUCAGUCAAUGACUCAGGGUAGCCACCGAACAUGAUGCUCGGGCAGUGGGUGCCACCUGGACUCCACUCUCCCCUCUCUCUGGGAUCAUAGAGUCCAAGGUGUUCUGUGGCCUCUCGGCCAAUCCCAGCAGCUCAGCGUGCAGAAGACCGAGGAGCCAUUGGAAUUCAACACAACACGAAAUAAUCAACAAAUUCGGGGAAUGUUAAUCUGACCAUCACCAGUUACAAAUGAUGUUUCAUGCUACCUUCUAUUCCUGCCUUCAUAAAUCAAGCUCUAAAUCUCCAGGAAAAAAUGUGCUCAGGAUGGCCAGAGAAAUGUCCUUCCAACUGUGCAUGGAAAGGUAUGAUUUUGUGCAGCAGGUGAAGGACUGGUUAGAGUAAGUGUGUGCUGAGCUUUUGUGUUUGAAAGCGAGCCUGUGCACUUCUAACGAUUGGAAGGUUUCCUUGCCUUCUCCGAUCUUACACACAGCAAGGACAGCAAAGCCUUCCAGACCUGCCUGUGACAUGCACUGCACAUUCUAAAGAUGCCUAUGCAAUGGAAAACACCACUGUCUGCUCCAGCACAGCUGCCAUUCUUCCAUCUUAUCGACCUUAAUGCAACAACUCCUCACAGGCAGAGAUUUUAAAAUGUGUUCUUGGCAGAAGAGAGACUCAAAGAUGGGACAAAUGUGUCAUUUAAAUGCCUGUUAAAAUGGAAACAGACAUAGUAUAGUCAGAGGAUUGUGGCAGCUAAGAACAUAGUCUCUGGAGCAAAUCUGCAUGGGUGGCAAUGCCAAGCACAUGAGGUCCUAGUUGUAUGAACUUAGGAAAAGAAAAAGAGAACAUAUAUCCCCCUACCUUUUGAUUUCCAACAGUCUACUGAGAGGCCAAGAUUAUUUGCAGGGAAAGAAAAGGGGUCAAAAUGUUUUGCCAGUAACUCCCAAAUCAUCUACAGCCAAGGAGAAAAGUGUUUCAAGACAGAGGUGCUCAAUGGUAUCAAAUACUGCCAACAGACCAAGUAAUACAUGCAUUGAAGUGUCUACUGGAUCUAGCUAUAUGAUUCCACAGCUGUUUUAUAGUAACUCAGAGUUUGAAGAGAAAUUACUCCUGCAGUACCAGUUUCCAAAAUGCUUUGUAGCAUCUUCUCAAAAAACAAAUGGGAAGAAGCCAAUCAGAAAUAAGGUAGAAUUGGCCAGGCACGGUGGCUCAUGCCUGUAAUCCAGCACUUUGGGAGGCCAAGGUGGACGGAUCACCUGAGGUCAGGAGUUUGAGACCAGCCUGGCCAACAUGGGAAACCCUGUCUCUACUAAAAAUACAAAAAUCAGCUGGGCAUGGUGGCACUUGCCUAUAAUCUCAGCUACUUGGGAGGCUGCGGCAGAAGAAUCGCUUGAACCUGGGAGGCGGAGGUUGCCUCCCGGUGAGACAAGAUUGCACCACUGCGCUCCAGCCUGGGCAACAGACCGAGGCUCUGUCACGAAAAAAAAAAAAAAAAAAAAAAGAAAAGAAAAACAAAAAAGAAGAAAGAAGGUAGAAUAAAUAAAAGCAUUACAUUCAUUCAUUCAUUUUUAUUGAGAUGUAAUUGAAGCCUAAGCAUCAAAUUCUUAAAGCUCCGGAUGAGAGACUUGGCAAGUGUCGGUUACUUCUUUCAAAGAUGGGACUGGUGGCUCUGUAGUCGUUUGCUCCUCAAAGGAUGGUCUGAGGACCAGAAUCAUCAGAAACCCCGUGGGAGCUUGUCAGAAAUACAGAAUUUCAGGUUUUGCCCCAGACCAGCUGAAUCAGAACAUGCAUUUAAACACAAUCCUCCGGUCACUUCCAUAGCCACCUAAAUUUGAGGAGCACCAUUCUACACUGUGAUAUGCCAGCAUCGACACUUGUUUCAGCACUUUGCUUUUGCUUGUUUCAGCACCAGAACAAGGUUAUGGUGGAAAACGCUAGAAAUGAAGAUUUUGUCCCCAGGGAUGGGGGAUACAAGUUACCAAAGUAGUGGCGAGAAAAGGAAUUUUUAAUUUAGGACACUUAGGCCAUACUGAAGCAAGGUGACAAAAUGAAUAGCUACAAUGUCUCGUGAAUCUUGGGUUUCCAUUCACCCUGGUAUUCAAGAGAAAUUCUUGCAUCAUGGAAGUUGCAGUUGGAUAGGACUUUCUCAGCUGAACACUGUCAUCUGCCAGAGCUUCAGGCAAGAACCCAGAACAGAUGAAACCCCAGACAUGACAAAAUAAGCCAAAGAAUACCAGGCCAAGGUGUGAAAGGCCAGAUGAGAACAAGCAGCGUACACGAUUCUGUUGCCAACAGAUCUCCCCUAACAGUGUCGUGCACCAAAUUUCCACAGUGAAUGUCAGGAAAAAAUGGCAAUUGAGGUGGGUGGUCAAAAGAGAAGCACAGUCUAUGAUGAAGUCACCCCAGAGAAGUCCUUUUUCCGUUUUCUCCUGAGAAAUUACCAGAAGAAAUUAAAAUCCUUUUGAGUAUUGCAU